GCCGUCGUUCAUACUGCGUCUAAUGCACCGGAUCCCAUCUGAACUCCGAAUUUAGGCGGCGCAAGGCCCGG
rnacentral:rRNA from 1 species